UCAAAUGGAAAAUAUCUUCCCAUUCUCUUCACGUGAUUUUCUCUUUCCGUAUCUAGGGUGCGAUUUUCCCUUCCUCUUCCCAAUGGUUCUCAACUCCUUUCUUCAUAAUUAUCUUCUAUCUUCUGUUCGAUACUUUCUGAAGAUUUUGUCAAAAACGAAGCACAAUAGCCUUCAAUCGGUCGUCGGUGCCAUAACCAUCCUCUUUCGCUCCUGAUUCACAAGAUGAAAUCCAGGGCUUCAUGCAAUAUGAGGCAUAUUAGUCUAUCACUUCAUCUCCAAAGAUUCUUCUUUUGAUGUUUCAUGAGUUAACUUUGGUUUUUAGGUUGAGAACUUCAUUUUUUUUUUUUUUGCAAACAGUGAUGUACUUCUCUAUCAUUGAUAGAUUAAUAUGACUUUAAUGAUAUUUGUAUAUCAUUGAGACUCGUAUUCUAGUCUAUUAGUAAUAUUAGUCUAUAUCACUAAUAGACUUUGUCUUCUAUCAAUGUUAUGAGUGCAACAGUAAAACUUUAUCAACAUUCAAGAAUUCACAAAAAAGAAUAGCUUGUUUGUGUGUUCUAAUAUUUAUUUAUUUAAUUUGUGGGUAAUAUAACACAAUAUAUUAGUGAUAGACCCUAUUAGUGAUUUUUUAUACUAUCAAAAUAGAAGUAUUGGUAAUGGACACAUAUUAAUGAUAUAGUCUAUGGUUGAUAGACUUUAAGAGCUGGAUCUUAAUUAAUUUAUUGAUUAUGUUUGUCCUUUUUUUCAUGUUAAUGCUAUUAAUGAAGUUAAAUUUCAAGUGAUUGAUGGAAGUAAUUGAAAGUUAUAUGGAUUGACAUGAAUGUACUAUCUCCAGUUUUCAAGUCGACCUCGAAAAUAAAGAAUAUUAUCUAUUGGUGAAGAGAAAAGUUACUUAAAAUGAACGUGCGGUAGAAAGUGUAAAUUUCCACCAUUUUUAUAUUGAUGUGGCAUUACAAUUUUCAUAAGAAUCAUUUUGCUCGAGGAAUAAAGAACAUUCCUUUAUCCAUUUUUGUUAGUAGUAAAUACAUUCAAUUUAUUUGUGAUCCAAGUUUUCAAUGGUAACCUACAAUUUUUGUCAGUACAUUUUGAUAGUGAUUGGAGUUGUUGCUAUGAAGAAAGUAGUUAUAGUAUGAAGUAACAUCACUGUGAAGUCUAUUGCUGAUAGACUUCAACAUGUAUUAAAGAUUAACAUAACUUUUUCUCAAUAAAAAGUACAAAUGCACAUAACUUGUAAUGAUUCAAGUUGUGAUCCAACAUUUUGUAUUACUGAUAUGGUCUAUCACAAAUGUGUAUCACAACAUUUGAUAUGGACUUCAACACCUAUUAUGAAUUAGUUGUUUAAUUUGUAAUUUUUCUUAAUAAAAACCACAAAUGCACAUAAUUUGCAAUAAUUCAACUCGUGAUUCAAUAUUGUUCUAUAUUAAUAUGAUAUCAACUACAUAUGAAGGUAAUGUCAAGUCUAUCACUAAUAUGGUCUAUUAUUGAUAGAUUUUAGCAUUCAAUUAAGAGUCACAAUUGUUUAAUCCUUAUAAGUUUACUCGAUGGAAACAAAAAGACACAUAACUUGUAACGAUUCAAUAUGUGAUCCAACAUUUUUCUAUAUUAAUACAACAAAAUCAAGUACACAUUGUGAAGUUUAUCAUUGAUCUUUUCUAUCGCUAAGAUACUGCAAAUAUCCACAAAACUAAGUUUCUACAAUAUCCACAAACUUAAUGUACCACAAUUUGCACCAAACUAAUGUACUACAUUAUAAUCUUUUAUUCUAGAAGUAUGUCUUGUUUGUUUCUUUCUUUCUUCUGGUCUUUUGCAUUUUCUAGUCUUUGUAUUCUCAACAUUUUCUUUGACGGGUUUAAGUUGUCUCUUCGGCCUCACAUUUUCAACAUUCUUUGUUAUUUGCAUAAAUUUCAUUUUUUCCUUUUCUUGAACAACUUGAAAUGUCAACAUUAAAUUAGAAGUUAAUAAAUAUAUAUCGAGUCUAUCAGUCAUAAAACAAUAUAGGAAAUAUUAUAGGUUUCUAUUAUCCCUAAUAGACUCUAAUCAAAACACCCAAAAAAAAAAAAAAA